GAUCCUGGCUCAGGAUGAACGCUAGCUACAGGCUUAACACAUGCAAGUCGAGGGGCAGCAUUAUCGAAGCUUGCUUGAUAGAUGGCGACCGGCGCACGGGUGAGUAACGCGUAUCCAACCUUCCCAUCACUCAGGGAUAGCCCGCCGAAAGGCGAAUUAAUACCUGAUGGUCUCCUUCGCGGACAUCUAACGAGGAGUAAAGAUUUAUUGGUGAUGGAUGGGGAUGCGUCUGAUUAGGUAGUAGGCGGGGUAACGGCCCACCUAGCCGACGAUCAGUAGGGGUUCUGAGAGGAAGGUCCCCCACAUCGGAACUGAGACACGGUCCAAACUCCUACGGGAGGCAGCAGUGAGGAAUAUUGGUCAAUGGACGGAAGUCUGAACCAGCCAAGUAGCGUGCAGGAUGACGGCCCUAUGGGUUGUAAACUGCUUUUGUGCGGGAAUAAAGUAUGGGACGUGUCCCAUUUUGCAUGUACCGCACGAAUAAGGACCGGCUAAUUCCGUGCCAGCCGCCGC
rnacentral:rRNA from 1 species